rnacentral:rRNA from 1 species
GGAGGUUACUGCUAUCGGUGUUCGCCUAACCCAUGCGAGUCAUAUGUUCUUCGUGAACAUGGCGUACUGCUCAGUAACACGUGAAUAACCUGCCCUUGGGACCGGCAUAACCCCGGAAAACUGGGGAUAAUUCCGGAUACCGCAUAUAUGCUGGAAUGCUUUAUGCGUGAAAUGGAUUCGUCUGCCCAAGGAUGGGUCUGCGGCCUAUCAGGUAGUAGUGGGUGUAAUGUACCUACUACCCUACAACGGGUACGGGUUGUGAGAGCAAGAGCCCGGAAAUGGAUUCUGAAACAUGAAUCCAGGCCCUACGGGGCGCAGCAGGCGCGAAAACUUUACAAUGCGGGAAACCGUGAUAAGGGGACACCGAGUGCCAGCAACAUUUGUUGGCUGUCCAGGUGUGUAAACUACACCUGUUAGCAAGGGCCGGGCAAGACCGGUGC